UCCCUCAGCAAUUAUCGCCUUCUCCAAUAAUGUGGCGAACGAGUCGAUUUGAAGGACCGACACCUUGUUGAACAACCAAGGUUUUAGUCCAAGUUCGAAGCGUCGAGAUUUCCUUUCUUCAGUGUCUACUUGAUGUGUUGCGAAUCGUGCGAGUUCAUUGAACUUGGCCGCAUACUGUGCCACUGUCAUCUCCCCUUGUUUUAGUUCUAAGAACUUUACUUCCAUCCUAUUCUUCAUGCUCUUCGGGAAGUAAUUCUCGAAGAACAAGGUCUUAAACCUUUCCCAGGUUAUAGUCCCUUCUCCCGCUCUCUGUUGAUUUGCUUCCCAC
rnacentral:lncRNA from 1 species